rnacentral:rRNA from 1 species
AGUGAACGCUGACGGUAGGCCUAACACAUGCAAGUCGAACGGCAGCACGGGAGAGCUUGCUCUCUGGGUGGCGAGUGGCGGACGGGUGAGGAAUACAUCGGAAUCUACUCUGUCGUGGGGGAUAACGUAGGGAAACUUACGCUAAUACCGCAUACGACCUACGGGUGAAAGCAGGGGACCUUCGGGCCUUGCGCGAUUGACUGAGCCGAUGUCGGAUUAGCUAGUUGGCGGGGCAAAGGCCCACCAAGGCGACGAUCCGUAGCUGGUCUGAGAGGAUGAUCAGCCACACUGGAACUGAGACACGAUCCAGACUCCUACGGGAGGCAGCAGUGGGGAAUAUUGGACAAUGGGCGCAAGCCUGAUCCAGCCAGACCGCGUGGGUGAAGAAGGCCUUCGGGUUGUAAAGCCCUUUUGUUGGGAAAGAAAUCCAGCUGGCUAAUACCCGGUUGGGAUGACGGUACCCAAAGAAUAAGCACCGGCUAACUUCGUGCCAGCCGCCGCGGUAA